rnacentral:rRNA from 1 species
AGCGGAGGAAAAGAAACUAACAAGGAUUCCCCUAGUAACUGCGAGUGAAGCGGGAAAAGCUCAAAUUUAGAAUCUGAUAGUCUUUGGCUGUCCGAGUUGUAAUUUAGAGAAGCAUUAUCCGCACUGGACUGUGUACAAGUCUUCUGGAAUGAAGCAUCGCAGAAGGUGAGAAUCCUGUCUUUGACACAGACUACCAGAGCUUUGUGAUAUGCUCUCGAAGAGUCGAGUUGUUUGGGAAUGCAGCUCUAAAUGGGUGGUAAAUUCCAUCUAAAGCUAAAUAUUGGCGAGAGACCGAUAGCGAACAAGUACCGUGAGGGAAAGAUGAAAAGAACUUUGGAAAGAGAGUUAAACAGUACGUGAAAUUGUUGAAAGGGAAACGCUUGAAGUCAGUCGCAUUGGUCAAGGAUCAAUCUUGUCUUUUGGCUUGAUGUACUUCUUGAUUAGUGGGUCAGCAUCAAUUUUGAUCAGUGGAAAAAGAUGAAAAGAAUGUAGCAUCUUCAUGAUGUGUUAUAGCUUUUUGUUGUAUACACUGGUUGAGAUUGAGGAAUUCAGCAUGCCGCAAGGCUCAUGCUUAGGAUGCUGGCGUAAUGGCUUUAAUCGACCCGUCUUGAA